GGCGGAUGUAGCCAAGUGGAUCAAGGCAGUGGAUUUGUGAANCC
rnacentral:tRNA from 2 species